AUUGAACGCUGGCGGCAGGCCUAACACAUGCAAGUCGAACGAGUGGCGGACGGGUGAGUAAUGUCUGGGAAACUUCCUGUUGGAGGGGGUUAACUACUGGAAACGGUAGCUAAUACCGCAUACCAUCGGAUGUGCCCAGAUGGGAUUAGCUAGUAGGUGGGGUAACGGCUCACCUAGGCGACGAUCACUAGCUGGUCUGAGAGGAUGACCAGCAACACUGGAACUGAGACACGGUCCAGACUCCUACGGGAGGCAGCAGUGGGGAAUAUUGCACAAUGGGCGAAAGCCUGAUGCAGCCAUGCCGCGUGUAUGAAGAAGGCCUUCGGGUUGUAAAGUACUUUCAGCGGGGAGGCGUUACCCGCAGAAGAAGCACCGGCUAACUCCGUGCCAGCAGCCGCGGUAAUUC
rnacentral:rRNA from 1 species